AAUCCAUUGUGCGGGCAAUCGUGCACUAAUCUCUUGAAUCUCUGCCACACAUCACUGAGCGAUUCAUUUUCUUCUUUUCAAAAUUGGUGAUCAAUUUUCUCCUUCU